GGCCUAACACAUGCAAGUCGAACGGCAGCGCGGGGCAACCUGGCGGCGAGUGGCGAACGGGUGAGUAAUAUAUCGGAACGUACCCUGGAGUGGGGGAUAACGUAGCGAAAGUUACGCUAAUACCGCAUACGAUCUAAGGAUGAAAACAGGGGACCGCAAGGCCUUGUGCUCCUGGAGCGGCCGAUAUCUGAUUAGCUAGUUGGUAGGGUAAAAGCCUACCAAGGCAUCGAUCAGUAGCUGGUCUGAGAGGACGACCAGCCACACUGGAACUGAGACACGGUCCAGACUCCUACGGGAGGCAGCAGUGGGGAAUUUUGGACAAUGGGCGCAAGCCUGAUCCAGCAAUGCCGCGUGAGUGAAGAAGGCCUUCGGGUUGUAAAGCUCUUUUGUCAGGGAAGAAACGGUGGAGGCUAAUAUCCUUUGCUAAUGACGGUACCUGAAGAAUAAGCACCGGCUAACUACGUGCCAGCAGCCGCGGUAAUACGUAGGGUGCAAGCGUUAAUUGGAAUUACUGGGCGUAAAGCGUGCGCAGGCGGUUUUGUAAGUCUGUCGUGAAAUCCCCGGGCUCAACCUGGGAAUGGCGAUGGAGACUGCAAGGCUAGAGUUUGGCAGAGGGGGGUAGAGUUCCACGUGUAGCAGUGAAAUGCGUAGAUAUGUGGAGGAACACCGAUGGCGAAGGCAGCCCCCUGGGUCAAAACUGACGCUCAUGCACGAAAGCGUGGGGAGCAAACAGGAUUAGAUACCCUGGUAGUCCACGCCCUAAACGAUGUCUACUAGUUGUCGGGUCUUAAUUGACUUGGUAACGCAGCUAACGCGUGAAGUAGACCGCCUGGGGAGUACGGUCGCAAGAUUAAAACUCAAAGGAAUUGACGGGGACCCGCACAAGCGGUGGAUGGAUGUGGAUUAAUUCGAUGCAACGCGAAAA
rnacentral:rRNA from 1 species